rnacentral:rRNA from 1 species
AGUGAACGCUGGCGGUAGGCCUAACACAUGCAAGUCGAACGGCAGCACAGGAGAGCUUGCUCUCUGGGUGGCGAGUGGCGGACGGGUGAGGAAUACAUCGGAAUCUGCCCAGUCGUGGGGGAGAACGUAGGGAAACUUACGCUAAUACCGCAUACGACCUUCGGGGGAAAGAGGGGGAUCGCAAGACCUCUCGCGAGUGGAUGAGCCGAUGUCGGAUUAGCUAGUUGGCGGGGUAAUGGCCCACCAAGGCGACGAUCCGUAGCUGGUCUGAGAGGAUGAUCAGCCACACUGGAACUGAGACACGGUCCAGACUCCUACGGGAGGCAGCAGUGGGGAAUAUUGGACAAUGGGCGCAAGCCUGAUCCAGCCAUACCGCGUGGGUGAAGAAGGCCUUCGGGUUGUAAAGCCCUUUUGUUGGGAAAGAAAUCUUUCAGGCUAAUACCCUGGGAGGAUGACGGUACCCAAAGAAUAAGCACCGGCUAACUUCGUG